AUGAGUUCCCUCCCAGCUGGAUGAGCAUCCCAUCUUUCUUCCGCUAGAUCCCGGUCCAAGCGCUUCCUCCUCAUCUCCUCUGUGUCCAGCUCACCACAUUUGUGAUCUAUUCCACGUUCCAACGCCUCCCCAUCAUAUCUUCAUCACGAGUUCAUCCCUGUUUUAGCUUCAAAACAUAGCCAUAUCCCAACCAAAUCCAAACGUAUUCUUCCCUGUUUCGGAACAACUUCCUCCCAGCCGAAUCCAAACCUCCACGUCCUUCCCAGCUUCCCUGCAUUCACAACAUCCAUCUAGAACCAAGUCUAAACAAAAUCCCCUGUUCCUAUUUCCAUUCUUUCCCAAGUUUAUCUUCUCGGAUCACAUCUCCCAGAUCUCCAACCAACGACAGCACAACCAACCUCCCAACUCCACACUCCGAGUUCAUUUCCUUAUCCUCAUCUUCCUCUCUCCCCCUGCUCCACGUCCGCAGCUUCAUCCUCCCGAGCUUCACGGCAAGGAACUCCGUCCUCCCCUGUUUUGGAACAGGAUCCCAACUCAUCUUCACAGCAUCUGGAAGCCAGCAACCGUCCGAGAUCCUCUCCAUGGCCUCCUCCAUCGACAAGGGAUCAGCUCCCAGUUCCGUUCCCAGCACCUCAUCCACGGACCCAAGGAUCAA
rnacentral:lncRNA from 1 species